UUAGAGUUUGAUCCUGGCUCAGGACGCAUUCUGGCGGCGUGCUUAACACAUGCAAGUCGAACGGUGACGAGUAGCUUGCUCCUCUGAUCAGUGGCGAACGGGUGAGUAACACGUGAGCAACCUGCCCUAGACUCUGGGAUAACAGUUGGAAACAGCUGCUAAUACCGGAUACGAGACGGAGAGGCAUCUCUACCGUCUGGAAAGUUUUUCGGUCUGGGAUGGACUCGCGGCCUAUCAGCUAGUUGGUGAGGUAAUGGCUCACCAAGGCGACGACGGGUAGCCGGCCUGAGAGGGCGACCGGCCACACUGGGACUGAGACACGGCCCAGACUCCUACGGGAGGCAGCAGUGGGGAAUAUUGCACAAUGGGCGAAAGCCUGAUGCAGCGACGCCGCGUGAGGGAUGACGGCCUUCGGGUUGUAAACCUCUUUCAGCAGGGAAGAAGCGAAAGUGACGGUACCUGCAGAAGAAGCACCGGCUAACUACGUGCCAGCAGCCGCGGUAAUACGUAGGGUGCGAGCGUUGUCCGGAAUUAUUGGGCGUAAAGAGCUUGUAGGCGGUUUGUCGCGUCUGCAGUGAAAAUCCGAGGCUCAACCUCGGACUUGCUGUGGGUACCGGCAGACUAGAGUAUGGUAGGGGAGAACGGAAUUCCUGGUGUAGCGUUGAAUGGGCCAGAUUUCAGGAGGAACACGAUGGGCGAAGCCAGUUCUUUUGGCCCAUAACUGACGCUGAGAAGCGAAAGCAUGGGGAGCGAACAGAUUUAGAUACCUGGGUAGUCCAUGCCGUAAACGUUGGGCGCUAGGUGUGGGGCUCAUUCCACGAGCUCCGUGCCGCAGCUAACGCAUUUAACCGCCCCGCCGGGGGAGAACGGGCCGCAGGCUAAAACUCAAAGGAAUUGACGGGGGCCCGCACAAGCGGCGGAGCAUGCGGAUUAAUUCGAUGCAACGCGAAGAACUUUACCAAGGCUUGACAUAUACCGGAAACAUCCAGAGAUGGGUGCCCCGCAAGGUCGGUAUACAGGUGGUGCAUGGUCGUCGUCAGCUCGUGUCGUGAGAUGUUGGGUUAAGUCCCGCAACGAGCGCAACCCUCGUUCUAUGUUGCCAGCGCGUAAUGGCGGGGACUCAUAGGAGACUGCCGGGGUCAACUCGGAGGAAGGUGGGGAUGACGUCAAAUCAUCAUGCCCCUUAUGUCUUGGGCUUCACGCAUGCUACAAUGGCCGGUACAAAGGGCUGCGAUACCGCGAGGUGGAGCGAAUCCCAAAAAACCGGUCUCAGUUCGGAUUGGGGUCUGCAACUCGACCCCAUGAAGUCGGAGUCGCUAGUAAUCGCAGAUCAGCAACGCUGCGGUGAAUACGUUCCCGGGCCUUGUACACACCGCCCGUCAAGUCACGAAAGUCGGUAACACCCGAAGCCGGUGGCCCAACCCUUGUGGAGGGAGCCGUCGAAGGUGGGACUGGCGAUUGGGACUAAGUCGUAACAA
rnacentral:rRNA from 1 species